rnacentral:misc_RNA from 1 species
UGUCCCCGAUCCCUCAAAAAAGUGAAGAUCUUCUUUUAAAUAUUCCAUAAAUCUCUCAUCAAAUUUCUUAAUCUGCUUUUGAUUUUAUGGAAUUGAAGUAAUUGAACGUUAAUUUGCUGUCAAAUUUUUCUGUCAUUAAUGAAUUGUAACUUAAUUGUAUUAUUUAUGGAUGGAAACUGUUCAGGUGUCCUUAAGGGGAGCAAG